rnacentral:rRNA from 1 species
UGGGGAAUAUUGGACAAUGGGCGAAAGCCUGAUCCAGCCAUGCCGCGUGUGUGAAGAAGGUCUUCGGAUUGUAAAGCACUUUAAGUUGGGAGGAAGGGCAUUAACCUAAUACGUUAGUGUUUUGACGUUACCGACAGAAUAAGCACCGGCUAACUCUGUGCCAGCAGCCGCGGCAAUACAGAGGGUGCAAGCGUUAAUCGGAAUUACUGGGCGUAAAGCGCGCGUAGGUGGUUUGUUAAGUUGGAUGUGAAAUCCCCGGGCUCAACCUGGGAACUGCAGUCAAAACUGACUGACUAGAGUAUGGUAGAGGGUGGUGGAAUUUCCUGUGUAGCGGUGAAAUGCGUAGAUAUAGGAAGGAACACCAGUGGCGAAGGCGACCACCUGGACUAAUACUGACACUGAGGUGCGAAAGCGUGGGGAGCAAACA